rnacentral:sRNA from 1 species
CCCCGGGCUUCGCCCGGGGCUACAAUCUGACGCCGCUACGCGGCU